UACAGUUCCAGUGGUUAGAGCGUCCGCCUCGGAUGUGGGAGGUCGCUGGGUUCGAACCCCGGCAGAGUCA